ensembl:lncRNA
GGGCUCUGUGCCCUGCGAGUGGGAGAGUGAACCUGCACAACUUGGGGGAGAGUAUUUCAGUUUGCAUCCCCUCUUGGUGUGAUUCGUGGCUCUUGCUCAGGCUGGGAUAAAUCUGUUGGUAGGAAAUGUGCCUCAUUUCUAGGAGGGAGGAUGACACGAUCCAUGUACUAGAAGUCUUUCAAUCAAAAGCUGUGAUAUGGGAGCACCGUCAUGCAAAGACAUGCUGGCACAAACUCCCAGCACAGCUACUCACCAGCCAAAAGGGUUUUGACAUUGGCUCUUCAAACUUAGAAGCGUUGAAACACUGGAAGGAAAACAAGUGCUGAGCUGAAAAAUGUGGUUCUGACGCAGUCAGUCAAGCCAGCAGACCCUGGGCUGGGAAUAGUUCCUCAGCCUGGUCCCUUCCCACCACCGGCAGUCCCUCUUCCUGUGCAUCCAAGGAGAUGCUCCUUGCAGGCAGCCAACCCUCUUAUCACUGCUGACACCACACUCAUGGACUGCAUGUUUACCAGCGUGGAGUGCUGGCAGGAGUGAAAACUCCAGGUCACUUUUCACUGUGGCAACUCACCACGUUGGAUUCAGCUCCCAGCUCUGUAGUAGGAAGAGAGCUUCCAGGGUACAGGCAUUGAAUCUGGAUUGACCGGGCUGUAAUUCCCUCGAUCCCUUUUCUUAAGGAUAAGCACUCUUCUCCCUUCCUCAUCCUCUGGGACACCCAGGAGCUCUUGAAGAUAAUCACCGAUGUCAGUGAUUGCUGCCGCCUGUUCCCACGUUCGCCUGGGUCUGCACACAGGAUUACCUGCUCAGCUGAAGCUCCUUGGUGCUUUUCUAAUCCAGAGCUGUAUGCCUCCUCUCUGCACUCCCCCUCUUCAGCCCACUGCAAUCAUGAGCACUGCCUUGUGCUCUUCUGCCCCAGAACUGAGAGGCACAACAUCCAAAGCAGCUGAGGGAAACAGGGCAGAGCUCUCCUGUUCAUGCAGACUGAGCAACUCACCCUCCACAGAUGGAUCCUGGGGAUUUCAAUGCUGGGAAGGAAUGGGAGGACCCCAGCACCCCGCUGCUCCACGUGUGACCCCCCAGCUCCCACCUCUGGGUCCAUGGCAGCGGGCACACUGCUGGGCAAGGAGAUUCCAGGGCUUCCUCAAUCCCAAGAGGAUUUCCCAAGCCCAGGAAAGUAUGUUAAUAUCAAGGGAGGAAAGAACAGUCUAUGAAUGCCAGUGAUCACAACUGACCACUGACAACAGGAGGUGAUGCAUCUCAGUCUCUUGUUCUUAUUCUUAUUUUUGCAGCACUCUGACCACUAUGCCUUCUCAGCAGCUACCAUUUCAAAAGAUGCAGCUCUGAAGUCCUGGAGGAAUUAUUACAUGUACAACUUAAUUAGUAUUUAAAUGGGUACCAUAUGUCUUAUUGAUUUGAUAGUGUAGUUGUUUCCAAUAGAUCAGGCAAAAAAUAAGGAAAUAAAUGUCAAUAGCUGCAAGUAGGAGUUCCGGCAGGAAGAAAGGAGCCUUAAAAGUGCCUGGUUCAAGAACCUGUGCAAAUCUGAGCUGCAAAUGGAGUGGGAGCACAGUGUAAUUUUAGUGCUCCUUUUCACACUGCAACAGCAACCGGCAGCGAUUACUUUUGGCAUUUUCCUGCAUAAUGAUGUGUUGGUGAUGAAGCAUUGAAGUAAAUAUCUUACGAGAUUUUUUUUUUUAAUUACUUUCUUGGCAGAGAUUGCUAAAGCACCAAGGAACUUUUGCAAAUUUUCCCUUAAUGGGACAAAUGAGUGAUUAUAGAACAUGUCUUUUAAAUACAAAGUGUAUUUUUGGCUUCUUUGAUUGGUACAAAACCAAGAUCCUGUGCAGCAAUCUCAGUUUCAAUGACACACAAAGAAUAAUAGUUUUGAAAAUAGGCCACACAUAAUAAUAUGAAUUAAAAACCCCCACCAUUAAAAAAAAAAUAAAGAUCAUUAUCCACACACUGUAACCAAGUAAGCAAGCAGGUACCUUAAUGAUUAGCCUGCUGUAUAGAGGUUUACAGCAGCUAGAAGUUACCCUUUUUCUCUGUCAAAUUUGCUCUCCAUUGAACAGAUCUUCAUUGCUUAACUCUGGUGUCCAAAACUCCCUUGACUUUACUGAAGUUAAUCACAAUACAUAUUCCUAUAUCUGAAGAGUAAGUAAAUUUUAGAUAUGGUUUAUUACUGAAGAUAGAACAGGAUCUUUUGAGAUGAAAGCUGAUGAAUAGUCAACACAUAUAAUAUUUACUCUGUAUUCAAACCAGAAAUCUGGCUGGGAGCUCUUUCCAUUCCAGUCAAACAGAGGGAUAACACAGUGCCAUUCUUGCAUCUCCUAGUUUCGAAAGCCAGCUGCCCAGGCAAAGCACCACUACUGACUUUUGUUUGAAAAAGGAAGAAAUGAGCCAAAUAAUUCAGAAAAUAAUUUCGAAAUAAUUACUGCAUCCAAAAGGAGUGACCCUGCACAACAUAGAGAGCAUGAAGAGGUGAAAGUCAUUGAUUACAGCAUUCUCCCCCAUUUGCCACACGAUAUAUGGUGCUGAUACAUAACUUUUAAGGUGUAAAGAGGAUGAUAAACAUUUUCCAGUUGGCUUUUCCUUAUGACAUAGCCUGCAGACCUGCAGCAGGGCAGGUUUCUGCUCUCAGCUUUGAUGUAUGGCACUUUGCACAUCAUCUGACACUGAGCAUUGCAGAUUUGAUAGAGUGCUACAAAUUUCUCCCAGUGUAUAAUCAACUGUUAUUAUUGCAGUUCUAGCCUUUAUCGGAUUAAUUUGAUGGCCUUGUGCUGAUAUUUUCUGUGCAGAUUUCUCAUACAUAUUUGGUGUUGAAUAUAUACACUUCUUCCAAACAGAAUGUCAGAAAGGGAAAGCGGGAGCAUAGAUCUCUGCUGGCAAUUUUCCUAAGCUUUGCUUGAAACAACCAAGUAUAGCAACAUAAAUUUACUUAGGCACUGUACUCAGCAGCGAAAUUCCGAGUGUGGCCGAUAGCGACUGGGGCACGACUUGCUUUUCUGCAUCAUUCCAGGAGGGGCAGCGGAUGCAAAGUAAGCUGUGUUGGUUUGGCGUGCCUCAAACAGUUCAUUCUCUUUGUUAGCUGGCAAGAAGAUUAAAUAACACCUCAAAAAACCAUUUAAACAUGCACAGUAAGAUAUCUUAAAACAUCCAUCAAAACAUGAGUCAUUUCCUGAGAAGAACAUCACCCACUGCCUGUGGAAGUGGCACAGCUCCGACCCCUCUGCCCCACAGCAGAGCAGGAUAGGCCCCGGCCCCCAGUGUGCUCCAGUCCAGCUCAGCAGUGCCUGCAGAGCCCCCAGCACUGCCCCUGCUCAGCUCAGCUCAUGUUGUGUCACACAGAGUAGGUGUGAGUGCUGACACUUCUCCACCAGGAAUGGUUUCUAGCUUGGACCAACAGAAUGAGUUCUGUUCAUUUGUAGCCUGUGAUUGCAGAAGUCACUGGCACAUAAAGCAGAGGUGGGGAAAAGUGUUCUUACACCAAAGAGAAGCUAUGUAAGUGAGCUUCUUGCAGCAUGUCUGCUUCCUUUUAUUAGAGUAUUUACUAUUAACUUUAUCCCCCAGUGGCCAAUUACUGUUCUUUUUAUUUCUUUUUAUUGUGAGACUCAGAGGAUGCUGCGAACAAACCUCUUCUGAUAUUCCUCAGCAAUUACUGCUGUGGUUAUACCUCUCUCUUCUCCACUCUGAGUGCCAGCACAGCCCCACAGAAUGUCUGCAUGUCUGCAUCCCAGCAUUAACCCCACCUCAGCCUGCCCUCCCUUCAGCUGGGUUUAAGCCAACAAAACUCUUGCUCCAGCUGCUGCUGCUGCACCUACUCACACCAGCCUCAAUACCAUAAAAAUGUGCUCCAGAGGGUGCUGCUGGAGAGAAGCUUUAUCCAGCACUGAUGUCAAUCCACAGGGAUCACGAUGCCCCAUUCCAAACAGAUCACCCUGAAAACCUGUCCUGGCUGCAGCAAGGUAACUCACCGCAGCUGGGGCAGCCUGGGCACCACCCCAUAAAUGGGUUUGCAGCAGCUUUCUGUCCUGGUAUGGCUCAGGGGGUGGGUGCAGCACUGGGACUGCUGCAGCUGGGGCUGUGCAGCAGUCUUUACUGUGUGUUGGAAGGUGCUGUAGAGAAAGGAAAAUCUGUAAGACUUUUACAAACACAUAUGAUACAUAGUAAACAGAUAAAGGGAACUCACCAGUUCUUCAACCUAGCGCUAGCUUGACCUUUCUGCUUGGCUAAAUGGCUGUAUAGUGCAUCUCCAGUUUGUCAUUCUUGUAUGCUCCUGGAUGAGUCUGGAACACCCCAACUACCUUCAUGUGCCCUGAGUUUGCAGAGCCCUCAGGCAGAGGCUGAUCUGCAGGGAGAGCUGGGGUGCUGGAUUUUGGGGGAGGCAGAAAAACUAAAUGUGAUAUCAGUGUAGUGAUAAGCACCAGGCAUUUGUGCUUUGUAAGUAAAUGUUGUGUGUUAGUAGCAAAUGUAUUAAAUCUCUUCAAGCAUUUUCUUUAUUGCCUUUUGUUUCGCUGAUUGCACACUGACUAUUGCUGUGGCCCCUGGGUGGCCCUGAGCUCCCUCAUCCUGCCCCCGAGGAUCAGUUACAGAGGGAUGGGUGCCACCACCCUCAGCAUGUGUCUAAACCUUUAUAGAUGUGCUCAGUAAUGUGGCUCAGCCUGCUGAAAUAAUUUCUUCAC